rnacentral:rRNA from 1 species
UACGUAGGGGGCAAGCGUUGUCCGGAAUUAUUGGGCGUAAAGAGCGUGUAGGCGGUCCGGUAAGUCAGCUGUGAAAGUCAAGGGCUCAACCCUUGAAAGCCGGUUGAUACUGUCGGGCUAGAGUCCGGAAGAGGCGAGUGGAAUUCCCGGGUGUAGCGGUGAAAUACGUAGGAUAUCUGGAGGAAUACCGGUGGCGAAGGCGGCUACCUGGUCCUACAUUGACGCUGAGA